CAGCAGCCGCGGUAAUACGAAGGGGGCUAGCGUUGCUCGGAAUUACUGGGCGUAAAGGGAGCGUAGGCGGGUCGUUUAGUCAGAGGUGAAAUCCCGGGGCUCAACCUCGGAACUGCCUUUGAUACUGGCGACCUUGAGUAUGGGAGAGGUAAGUGGAACUCCGAGUGUAGAGGUGAAAUUCGUAGAUAUUCGGAAGAACACCAGUGGCGAAGGCGACUUACUGGCCCAUUACUGACGCUGAGGCUCGAAAGCGUGGGGAGCAAACAGGAUUAGAUACCCGGGUAGUCCCUGUCUCUUAUAC
rnacentral:rRNA from 1 species